rnacentral:ncRNA from 1 species
CUGGUUGACUCUGCCAGUAGCAUUUUCUUGUCCUAAAGAUUAAGCCAUUUUAAGUCUAAGUACACACGGUUGGUAAACUGUGAAUACAUUUCAUUAAGUUAUAUUCCAUUGAUCGCUCCAGUAUUACUUGGAUAACUGUGGUAAUUCUAGAGCAAAGAUAUGCCAACAAGUGCUGACCCAAAUGGGGUGCUUCGGGGUGCUCCGGAUGCUUUUACUGACCCUUUGUGGCAAUGUCUGCCCUAUCAACUUUCAAUGGUAGUUUCUGUGCCUACCAUGGUGACCACGGGUAACAUGGAAUCAGGGUUCGAUUCUGGAGAGGGAGCCUGAGAAACAACAACCAUAUCGAAGGAAGGCAGCAGGCACACAAAUCCACUCCUGAUUUGAAGAGGCAGUGAUGUAAAAUAACAAUAAGGACUCUUUUGAGGCCCUGUAAUUGGAAUGAGUACACUUCAAAUCCUUUAAAGAGGAUCCAUUACUGAUGUUUAGAAGCAUUUUUGCAGUGAUCAGAAACUUGCUUUAAAAGUCAAAUUU